GCCAAAACGGUCCCCCAUCAAACAACUGGCCUUCAUCCACGUGUGCCUGCCUCCGACAAAAGAUCUCUGAGCGGCGACUACUUUCUUCCUCUGAAGUCUGAAUCUUCUCCCGUUCCUCAAGCUCUGCUCUGCAGUAUUGUGUUCACAGCGAGAGCCAAUUACUUCUCUGCAAAGAGAAAGCAGAGAGGUGUGCAGGCCAGGCCGGCCAACUGCUUCGGAUUUCAAUCAUAGGGUUUAGGGACAGAUCAGCGUCAAGCCAUGGCUCUGCUGAUGCUAUCAUCGCCACCUCAAACCCCAGCAGUGCUUCAAAACCCUCUUCCUCAUCCUUCCUCCCCAUGGCGAUUCCCUAAAGGUCCCUCUUUCAAUUCACCUGCUUCCUCCGUCUCUUCGACUGCCGCUGCCCGCCGCUCCUCAACUUCAUCGACUGAUCGGAUUUGGAGCGGCAGAUCCCGCCUCGUGGCAAGAGCAGCCGCUGCUUCCGAAUUUGAGGACAGCGUCGGCGACGCCCUCGCCGAUGUUGCCGUUUUCACCGCCGCGGAUGGCCAGCCCGUCCUGUUCAAUAAUCUCUGGGAUCAGAACGAGGGAAUGGCUGUUGUUGCGCUUUUAAGGCAUUUUGGAUGUGUUUGCUGCUGGGAACUUGCUUCAGAUUUAAAAGAAUGGAAACCAAGAUUCGAUUCUGCUGGUGUUAAACUAAUUGCUGUUGGUGUUGGUACUCCUGACAAAGCCCGUAUUCUUGCUGAGAGGUUACCAUUUCCAUUGGAUUGCCUUUAUGCCGACCCUGAUAGAAAGGCAUAUGACGUCUUGGGCUUGUACUAUGGUAUUGGCCGCACAUUCUUCAACCCAGCAAGCGCGAAGGUCUUUUCAAGAUUUGAGGCUUUCCAGAAAGCUUUGAAGAACUAUACAAUUGAAGCCACCCCAGAUGAUAGAAGCACUGUCCUGCAACAGGGAGGAAUGUUCGUCUUCAAAGGGAAGCAGCUGUUGUAUGCCCGGAAAGAUGAAGGGACAGGUGAUCAUGCUCCUUUAGAUGAUAUUUUCAACAUCUGCUGCAAGGUCCCAGUCGCAUAAAGAUGCAUCGUGUAGAAAGUACUGUUCAGCUUUUAUGAAUCACCACCACCAGCACGCAAGGGUAAGGAUACGGUGGAGGCCAUGAAGAACUCAAUGCUCACAUCAUAUGGUGGUGUUUGGAGAAGCAAAGGAAAUGAAGACAAAACAUUUUUCAAUUGUAUUUGUUGUUUAAUUCAUUUGGGUUUGUAUUAUGGUUUGUAAUAAUUAAUGCAUCGCAUGCAUGAUAGGUUGAAUAAACUCAAUGACUAUGGAAAAGACUUCAGUUGACAGA